GAUGAACGCUAGCGGCAGGCUUAAUACAUGCAAGUCGAGGGGCAACAGGGGUAGCAAUACCUGCUGGCGACCGGCAAACGGGUGCGCAACACGUACAGAACCUUCCUUUAAGCGGGGGAGUAGCCCAUAGAAAUGUGGAUUAAUACCCAUGGUAUGUUAGUGGCAUCACUAGAUAUUAAAGAUUUAUCACUUAAAGAUGGCUGUGCGUCUGAUUAGGUAGUUGGUGUAGGAA
rnacentral:rRNA from 1 species